rnacentral:rRNA from 1 species
AUUGAACGCUGGCGGCAUGCUUUACACAUGCAAGUCGAACGGUAACAGGCCGCAAGGUGCUGACGAGUGGCGAACGGGUGAGUAAUGCAUCGGAACGUGCCCAGUCGUGGGGGAUAACGCAGCGAAAGCUGCGCUAAUACCGCAUACGAUCUAUGGAUGAAAGCGGGGGACCGUAAGGCCUCGCGCGAUUGGAGCGGCCGAUGUCAGAUUAGGUAGUUGGUGGGGUAAAGGCUCACCAAGCCAACGAUCUGUAGCUGGUCUGAGAGGACGACCAGCCAUACUGGGACUGAGACACGGCCCAGACUCCUACGGGAGGCAGCAGUGGGGAAUUUUGGACAAUGGGCGCAAGCCUGAUCCAGCAAUGCCGCGUGCAGGAAGAAGCCCUUCGGGUUGUAAACUGCUUUUGUACGGAACGAAACGGUCCUGGUUAAUACCUGGGGCUAAUGACGGUACCGUAAGAAUAAGCACCGGCUAACUACGUGCCAGCCGCCGCGGUAAGAC